rnacentral:lncRNA from 1 species
UGUAUUCAGUGGUGUGUGUGUGUGUGGUGUGUGUGUGUGUGUGGUGUGUGUGUGUGUGUGUGUGUGUGUGUGUGUGUGGUGUGUGUGUGUGUGUGUGUGUGCGUGUGCGUGCGUGUGUUUACUUGAGAGCCUCACAGAGAGACAGAGGCACAUACAGAAAGAGACAGACAUAUUGAAAAAAGUGAGAGAGAGAGAGAGAGAGAUGUGAGUUUUUCCCAGGUGAUAUGUGCCACUGACACUGCACAAUGGCCAAUGUCGACUUUCUCCAAAAGCUCCUCAUAGUGCACACUUCAAGAAAUACAGCUGAGUGUGGUCAACAGUGACAUUCAGUCCAUGCAGGUAACAAAAGCCUCCAUACUCUCUGGACCAUGUUCAUAUCACGGAACAGUCCCUGAGUUUUCUUGAGCAGCACCAACAAUGUACUGACGUGUGUUCUGUGUCCUUCUAGGUGUCCCUGAGGAGGAAAAGAUGUGGGCCGUUCCUGUCAGGAGACACCAAGGUGUUGCUGAGGUUGCUGAGGGAGAAACAGAAUAUGGUGUCCCUGAGGAGGAAAAGAUGUGGGCCGUUCCUGUCAGGAGGCAGCAGGAUGUUGCUGAGGUGGCCGCGGGAGCAACGAAAUAUGGUGUCCCUGUGGAGGAAAAGAUGUGGGCUUUUCCUGUAAGGACACACCAGGCUGUUGGUGAGUUUCCUGUGGUCUCUGGAACCAUGGAGAAUGAUUGGGUGUUGGAGAGCCUGUCUGACUCUGGAACCGAUGAUGAAUAGUCAUCAGAUAGGGAACUGCACUCAGGUAGGAAUCAAUGGGAGAGGGUUUCUGGGAACAGCUGGCUUAUACCUGCUGCUUUGUAGACUUAGAGUGGGAGGUAUGAAAUCAGAAAGACAAAGCAAGGAUGUGCGAAGCCUUGUGUUGUUCUUUUAAUAUAAUAGCAGCGUCUUUUAAUAGAAUAGAUGUGUUCUCCCUCUGGGCUUUGAAUGUACUCUGUCUGUAACCAGCUUUUUAAAGUUUGUUUUUUUUUUAACCAAGUUGGUUAACAUAUAGUGUAAUAAUGGUUUCAGUAAUAGAAUUUAGUGAUUUAUCACUUCCAUAGAACACCCAGUGGUCAUCCGCACCAAGUGCCCUCCCUAAUGCUCAUCACCUAUUUAGUACAUCCCUCUACCCAACACCCUUCCAACAACCCUCAGUGUGUGAAGAGUUAAUCAGUCACUUAUGGACUGUCUCCAUCUCUGUUUUUACCUUAUUUUUCCUUCCAUUCUCCUAUGUUCAUCUGUUUUGUUAGAUUCCACACAUGAGUGAAAUCAUAUGAUAUUUGUCUUUCUCUGACUGACUUAAUUUGCUUACCAUAACACAUUCUAGUUGCAUCCACGUUGUUGCAAAAGGCAAGAUUUCAUUCUUUUGGAUCAUGGAAUGAUAUUCUAUUCUAUGUAGAUAGAUAGAUAGAUAGAUAGAUAGAUAGAUAGAUAGAUAGAUAGAUAGAUAGAUAGAUAGAUAGAUAGAUAGAUAGAUAGAUAGAUAGAUAGAUAGAUAGAUAGAUAGAUAGAUAGAU